rnacentral:lncRNA from 1 species
UUUCCCAAUCCUCCAUGGUUCACUUCUGUGACAUCGUCAGUUGUUCGGCCGCCAUGCCGAUAAAACAGUUUUGUAUCAGUGCUUUGUGACUAUAGAGUUUCUCACUCUAUUAUGUUUGUGACAUCGGCUGUAUUGCGUUUUUUCGCCGACGGCUUACUACCACAAUGGCGGGAUCUGCGUUCGCCACCUCCGUUCUCGAUGCGCCUUUGUACGUCGCGCGUUGGGUAGCACUUUUUCCAUUAAGUGAAAUUCUUUGCACUUUGUGUUUCGUCAACAAUGUCCGAAUUUCUUUAGGAGAUAACCGCGACAAUUAUUGAUGGUUGGGCUCUACUGUCUUGUUGGUUUUUGUCAGCUUUAUUUUUUAUAUGCGGGUUCUGCUUGUUUAUAGUUUUUGUGGUUAACGUAGCAUGAAACAACCGAAGGGAGUGGAUUCAGCGAGGACACGCUGCUCAUAAUCGUGAGCCAGUCUGUACUAGCCCUAUCUUGUGUCCUUUUGUUCUUGCAUGGGUACGUUACACUGUAGCAUUGCGCACGCGCACGUGUCACUAUACAGCUUGUAGCGUUCCAAGCGCCAUGCUUACUUGUUUUAUGCAUUGUCAAAUGCAAUCGGCUGCUGAUGCAAAGUUGCACUGGUUUUUUAUUCUGACUAAGCUGCAAAACUUGUAGCCUAGUACAUGCUUCAUCUAGGAGUGCAAUCGGGACUGCUUAUCGUUUAUUAAUGAAUAACUGUGGUUCACCUUAUUUGUAACUGCAUAUCUGGCUUUCAACUGACCUGAUGCUCUUAUUUUGUUCUUUUCACUGUUUAGACGGCGGGACAUAUUGGUGUCUUGGCGCUAGCUGGAUGGCGGGACCUCAUCAUUAUGAUCAGUGUUUUGCUUGCCUGUGUCUACAAGACUCUUCAUGUGUCACCUGCGACAGAAAGCAUUUGUGGGCAGCCAGUGCUCUCCUACAAAGACUGGCCUGCUCUGGCUGCGACAGCAAUGAUCUUGCACAUCUAUGCAUGGCCAACUUUGCUGCUAUUUGUCACUCUUGUUAAUUACACUUCCUGCAUCUUUUCUCAUUUAUUGGGUAAUAAAGUUUGACUGUGUGACAUGGUGU